rnacentral:rRNA from 1 species
GUGUCAGCCGCCGCGGUAAUACGGGGGGUGCAAGCGUUGUUCGGAAUCAUUGGGCGUAAAGAGCGUGUAGGCGGCGUGAUAAGUCAGAUGUGAAAGCCCUGGGCUUAACCCAGGAAGUGCAUUUGAAACUGUCAGGCUUGAGUAAGGGAGAGGGAAGUGGAAUUCCUGGUGUAGAGGUGAAAUUCGUAGAUAUCAGGAGGAACACCGGUGGCGAAGGCGACUUCCUGGCCCUAUACUGACGCUGAGACGCGAGAGCGUGGGUAGCAAACAGGAUUAGAUACCCUGGUAGUCCACGCCGUAAACGAUGUUCACUAGGUGUUGGGGGUAUUGACCCCCUCAGUGCCGGAGCUAACGCAUUAAGUGAACCGCCUGGGGAGUACGGUCGCAAGACUAAAACUCAAAUGAAUUGACGGGG